rnacentral:rRNA from 1 species
AGGACGAACGCUGGCGGCGUGCUUAACACAUGCAAGUCGAGCGGAAGGGCCCUUCGGGGUACUCGAGCGGCGAACGGGUGAGUAACACGUGAGCAACCUGCCCUUAGCUCUGGGAUAGCUCCGGGAAACCGGAAUUAAUACCGGAUAUGACCUAGGCCGACAUCGGCCGUGGUGGAAAGUUUUUCGGCUAGGGAUGGACUCGCGGCCUAUCAGCUAGUUGGUGGGGUAAUGGCCUACCAAGGCGACGACGGGUA